GCGUUCAUGGUGUAAUGGUUAGCAUUGUUGCCUUCCAAGCAAUAGAUCUGGGUUCGAUUCCCGGUCAACGCA
rnacentral:tRNA from 1 species